rnacentral:lncRNA from 1 species
AAUCUUUUUUUGACCAUGACCCCUGACCCUGUUCCACCAUUGCCCAACCCCCAGAGGGGGACUGUUCCCUUAGCACCUUAUAUCAUUCACCUCUGCCACUUAUCACAGCCUUUAACUAUAUAUUUGGGUAAUUUUUCUUACCUAGGUCUCCACCACCAGAUGGAAAACACAGGCGCUAUAACGGCAUCUAUUCCGUUCACCUCUGUUCUCUUUAGAGCUUGGUGGGGCACAAACAAGGCAACGACUGCCGAACACAUGAUCCCACAGGAAUCAAAAGCCAUCUCUAUUUUUAUUUUAACAUUUUUCAAAGCCUUCCCCUAAUUUUAAAAAUUUUACCUGAGUGGCCUUCGAAGAGAUACACCAUUUAAUAUGGAUCUAAGGUGAUGAAUCUCAAACAUGGCAGCAUAUCUUUCAAAAUAUACAGAAGUCUAGCACCCAUACCCAGAGAGAUUUUGCUUUUCGUUCUUGUUGUUGUUUGUUUGCCGAGCCAGUGGCAUGAGGAAGUUCCCGAGCCAGUGAUCCAACCUGCACCACAGCUAUAGCCAGAGCCACAGCAGUGACAACGCCAGAUCCUUAACCUGCUGAGCCAUAAGGGAACUCCAGGUGCCUGUAUUUUUGAAAAAUUCCCCCAUCUAACUCUCCUAAGCAACAAGGAUUGAAAACACUGGCCUGUGGGGUUCAAAUAGACUCAAGAUUCGGAACUGGACCACGGAGUAGAUAUGGGGGGUGCAGUCUAGAAAGCCCACCUAACUUGAAGAGGAAGCUCAGCCGUCAGACAUCUGGGAUCGAGGACAAGGUUCCAGCCCUCAAAUAUGGGACAAAUAAGAUCCAGGCACUUAUCAGCACUCUUACCAAACCACAGAAAAAGCAGAAACCAGGGCAAAGGCCUAGACUUGCAGACCAGCUGACCAUCACAAGGGGGGAUGGGAAGCCAGCUAACAGGGGAGGCCAGCUAACAGGGGAGACCAUGGCGCAUGCACACGUGUCCUGAACUCAGGCUCAGCCAAACCGGCCCCAGGCGGCCAGAGCAAGUGCAGCGCCCACCUGCUCUCAAGGACGGGUCCUGGUGAACUGCCAGUGCCCUCUGCUUUGGCUCAAGCCCAGGAUUUGUCUGACACAUCAGCUUGAAAUUCUUCAGGCCCUAAAGCCUGUUGAAUCUGGGGACAGCUUAAUUACGGCCAGAGAAAUUCCUCUAUAAUUUUUGAGCCCAUUUAGAGUUUGAUGCUUAGAAAGCAAACUCUUUAUUUGUUCCAAGCUAGAGUGUUAAAAGCCCCCAGCAGACAAAAGAGCCAUUGAUGAGCCCAGCCCUCUUUCUCUCUCCCUCCAGUCUUCUGGGCUUCAUUGGUCAGCUCAACGUGUUGGUUGUUUUUGUCUGUUUGUGUUUUGUCCUCGUUUUCAGAGUUGGGCCUGUGCCCCAAGAAAAAGACAAGAUUGACAACUUGAAAAGAGAAUGGCCCUCUCCCUGCCCCAAUCUGGAAGGGCCAGCAUCUCCUUGGCAAUCAGCCAGCCUGAUUUAAUGUCCUCCCUAAUGAUGGGAAAGGGCUGAUGAUUAAAAACCUGCAGACAAGACCCCGUCAGGGGAUGUGGCCAACCCAAAGGAACUCCAGUAGCAGCACAAAAGGGGCUACCAGUCGCUGGCACCCCAGCUGGUGCACAUCAGUGGGGUCAGGUUUGCCGUUAGGCUGAACUCCCCUUACCCACAGCAGGCAUCAGCCACUGGACACUGGGGUGCGGGCCUGGGGAGGCACUUGCAGUAAAACGGAGCUGAAUCCUAGAGAGGAUGGCCAGUAGGGAAGAGCCAGAGCCCCAGUGAAGCAACUGGGUGGCAAAGGGACCCAGCAAAGAGGGGUUGCUGGGGAACUGUAUUCCUUACUCAGCAGACAGACAGACUGCAGGCAGAGGGAAGGCAGGCAGGGGAGCAGACCUCCAUGUCCACACAGAGAUAAAGGCAGUGUUCCAAAUGGAGGAGGGGAGAUUCCUGUCAUGGCUCAGCGGUAACGAACCCAACUAGGAUCCAUGAGGACUUAGGUUCAAUCCCUGGCCUCGCUCAGUGAGUUAAAGGACCCAGUGUUGUGCUCAGCUGUGGUGGAGUUCACAUACACAGCCCAGAUUCCACACGGCUGUGGCUGUGGUGUAAGCUAGCUGCUGCAGCUCUGAUUUGACCCCUAGGCUGAGAUGUUCCAUGUGCCAUGGGUGCAGCCCUUAAAAGACCAAAAAAAAAGUGGGGGGGUACGGGGGUGGGGGGUACCAAGGUCAGGAGCCCCAAGCAAGCCACAUACCUGGUCAGAUUGGGCAGAAUGAAUGAAUUGAAAUUGGCCUUGGUCCAUCAGAAGCUACCUCCAAGAGUCACCUUGGAAGGCAACUGUGGAGAAUGGAAAUAUUUGAUUGACAGGUCCCAACCCAAGGCAGAGCCUUGCUUGCAGGUCCUGGCAUAAUUCCUCAUGGUCUAAUGAGGUUUAUAAUUUUAUUGAUUUAAAAGGAACAAGCUGCAAUUCACUCUCCCUGAGCACUGCUGCGGGGCUGCUGGCCCAGCAAGAAGGUGACAGCAUGUGUAGGCUGGGGGUAAGGAUGCUAGGAGCCAGCCUCCUAAAGAUGCUUAACCUGCUGGGCCUUGUCCCCUCCUUACGCAGAGCAGAGGUUUGACUGAGAUUAUCCUGUAGCUCCUGGAUAGCUGGAGGAGAAAACAUUCCUAUUGGUACUACUGAUGAGACCUUCCUUUCUCUUUUCUCUUUUAUGGCUUUUUACCCUUUGUAAGCUGCCUCCGAAGUUCAUUUCCCUGAUUAAACCCUAUUUCCCCCAAAUAAAGUGUGAACAAACUUGUGAGAGGAGCACAGCAGAGUCUGACUUAGACACAACCCUGACUCUCAAAAAAAUCCCACGGGAAUUUGCACUGUGGUGCAAUGGGUUAAGAAUCCAACUGCAGCAGUUUGAGUCACUGUGGAGGCACAGAUUUGAUCUCUGCCCCUGCACAGUGGGUUAAAGGAUCCAGUGUUGCCAUAGGUCACAGCUGCAGCUCAGAUUCAAUC